rnacentral:rRNA from 1 species
UACGUAGGGUGCGAGCGUUAAUCGGACUUACUGGGCGUAAAGCGUGCGCAGGCGGUUUUGUAAGCCAGAUGUGAAAUCCCCGGGCUUAACCUGGGAAUGGCAUUUGGGACUGCAAGGCUUGAGUGCGGCAGAGGAGACUGGAAUUCCUGGUGUAGCAGUGAAAUGCGUAGAUAUCAGGAGGAACACCGAUGGCGAAGGCAGGUCUCUGGGCUGACACUGACGCUCAUGCACGAAAGCGUGGGGAGCAAACAGG